GACGAACGCUGGCGGCGUGCUUAACACAUGCAAGUCGAACGAUGAAGCCGGAGCUUGCUCCGGUGGAUUAGUGGCGAACGGGUGAGUAACACGUGAGCAAUCUGCCCUUGACUCUGGGAUAACUGCGGGAAACUGUAGCUAAUACCGGAUACGACACCUUGGGGCAUCCCAGGGUGUGGAAAGAAUUUCGGUCAAGGAUGAGCUCGCGGCCUAUCAGCUAGUUGGUGAGGUAAUGGCUCACCAAGGCGACGACGGGUAGCCGGCCUGAGAGGGUGACCGGCCACACUGGAACUGGGACGCGGUCCAGACUCCUACGGGAGGCAGCAGUGGGGAAUAUUGCACGAUGGGCGAAAGCCUGAUGCAGCAACGCCGCGUGAGGGAUGAAGGCCUUCGGGUUGUAAACCUCUUUUAGCAGGGAAGAAGCGAAAGUGACGGUACCUGCAGAAAAAGCACCGGCUAACUACGUGCCAGCAGCCGCCGCAG
rnacentral:rRNA from 1 species